AUUGAACGCUGGCGGCAGGCUUAACACAUGCAAGUCGAGCGGAGAUGAGGUGCUUGCACCUUAUCUUAGCGGCGGACGGGUGAGUAAUGCUUAGGAAUCUGCCUAUUAGUGGGGGACAACAUUCCGAAAGGAAUGCUAAUACCGCAUACGUCCUACGGGAGAAAGCAGGGGAUCUUCGGACCUUGCGCUAAUAGAUGAGCCUAAGUCGGAUUAGCUAGUUGGUGGGGUAAAGGCCUACCAAGGCGACGAUCUGUAGCGGGUCUGAGAGGAUGAUCCGCCACACUGGGACUGAGACACGGCCCAGACUCCUACGGGAGGCAGCAGUGGGGAAUAUUGGACAAUGGGGGGAACCCUGAUCCAGCCAUGCCGCGUGUGUGAAGAAGGCCUUAUGGUUGUAAAGCACUUUAAGCGAGGAGGAGGCUACUGAGACUAAUACUCUUGGAUAGUGGACGUUACUCGCAGAAUAAGCACCGGCUAAAUAUGUGCCAGCAGCCGCAGUAAGAC
rnacentral:rRNA from 1 species